GAUGAACGCUGGCGGCGUGCCUGAUACAUGCAAGUCGAGCGAAUGGAUUAAGAGCUUGCUCUUAUGAAGUUAGCGGCGGACGGGUGAGUAACACGUGGGUAACCUGCCCAUAAGACUGGGAUAACUCCGGGAAACCGGGGCUAAUACCGGAUAACAUUUUGAACCGCAUGGUUCGAAAUUGAAAGGCCGCGUCGGCUGUCACUUAUGGAUGGACCCGCGUCGCAUUAGCUAGUUGGUGAGGUAACGGCUCACCAAGGCAACGAUGCGUACCCGACCUGAGAGGGUGAUCGGCCACACUGGGACUGAGACACGGCCCAGACUCCUACGGGAGGCAGCAGUAGGGAAUCUUCCGCAAUGGACGAAAGUCUGACGGAGCAACGCCGCGUGAGUGAUGAAGGCUUUCGGGUCGUAAAACUCUGUUGUUAGGGAAGAACAAGUGCUAGUUGAAUAAGCUGGCACCUUGACGGUACCUAACCAGAAAGCCACGGCUAACUACGUGCCAGCCGCCGCCGUAA
rnacentral:rRNA from 1 species